CCAACAGGGAUUGCCUCAGUAACGGCGAGUGAAGCGGCAACAGCUCAAAUUUGAAAGCUGGCUCUUGCAGAGCCCGCGUUGUAAUUUGUAGAGGAUGCUUCAGGCGCGGCGCUGGUCUAAGUUCUUUGGAACAAGACGUCAUAGAGGGUGAGAAUCCCGUAUGUGACUAGCUGCCUGUGCCUAUGUGAAGCUCCUUCGACGAGUCGAGUUGUUUGGGAAUGCAGCUCAAAAUGGGUGGUGUACUUCAUCUAAAGCUAAAUAUUGGCCAGAGACCGAUAGCGCACAAGUAGAGUGAUCGAAAGAUGAAAAGCACUUUGGAAAGAGAGUUAAACAGUACGUGAAAUUGUUGAAAGGGAAGCGCUUGCAAUCAGACUUGCGCGGCGUCGAUCAACCUGGGUUCUCCCUGGUGCACUCGGCGCUGCUCAGGCCAGCAUCAGUUUCAGCGGUUGGAUAAAGGCCUAGGGAACGUGGGUUACUUCGGUGACUGUUAUAGCCCUAGGUGCAAUGCAGCCUGUUGGGACUGAGGACCGCGCUUCGGCUAGGAUGCUGGCGUAAUGGUUGUAAGCGACCCGUCUUGAAACACGGACCAAGGAGUCUAACAUCUAUGCGAGUUUUUGGGUGUUAAACCCAUAAGCGUAAUGAAAGUGAACGGAGGUGAGAACCCUUAAGGGUGCAUCAUCGACCGAUCCUGAUGUCUUCGGAUGGAUUUGAGUAAGAGCAUAGCUGUUGGGACCCGAAAGAUGGUGAUCUAUACUUGAAUAGGGUGAAGCCAGAGGAAACUCUGGUGGAGGCUCGCAGCGGUUCUGACGUGCAAAUCGAUCGUCAAAUUUGAGUAUAGGGGCGAAAGACUAAUCGAA
rnacentral:rRNA from 1 species